GAUGAACGCUGGCGGCGUGCCUAAUACAUGCAAGUCGAGCGAACGGACGAGAAGCUUGCUUCUCUGACGUUAGCGGCGGACGGGUGAGUAACACGUGGAUAACCUACCUAUAAGACUGGGAUAACUUCGGGAAACCGGAGCUAAUACCGGAUAAUAUUUUGAACCGCAUGGUUCAAAAGUGAAAGACGGUCUUGCUGUCACUUAUAGAUGGAUCCGCGCGGCAUUAGCUAGUUGGUAAGGUAACGGCUUACCAAGGCAACGAUGCAUAGCCGACCUGAGAGGUGGACGGGCACCACUGGACCUAAGCCACGGUCAAGCCUCUUACGGGAGGCAGAGGUAGGGAAUCUUCGGCAAUGGGCAAAAGCCUGACGGAGAAAGGCGCCUGGAGUAUUGAAGGUCUCCGGACCGAAAACCCUUGUAAUUAGGGAAGAAAAUCUGUGAAAGUAACGGGGAAGACCUUACCGUAACUAAACAAGAAGCCCCCGGCUACUUCCUUG
rnacentral:rRNA from 1 species